GUUGGGAAUUAUUUGGGAAUGGUUCAACUCUCACAUAUGGAUGCAGCCUGACUGGAACUGGAAAGAUCUAGCCUAUUUGGUUUCUUGUCAAGGUCUUGAGAAGAGCUCUAAAAAACAUCUCAGGCCAUCUGGCCUAUUUUUUUCACAUGUGUGACUCCUACAAGAAAGUGUGGUCAGAGAAGAUAUAUAGAAGCUCCCAGGUGUCUUCCUUAAAAGACAGCAGAGGCUUGCUCUGUGCACCUCGCAGGUCCACCCCUCCUUCAUUGUCUGGCCAUGUUCUGAACAAGAGGCAGAUGGCUGUACUUUAAGGCCAGCUAGAAGAAACCCCAAAAUACCCAGGCCAGGAUUCAGGCAGAUAACUGGUUUGACUCUAAGUCCAUGCUCUUUCCACUGAGCCAUUUUUUCAAGGCCUUAUUCACAAAAGUUUACUCAGUAAAAGACAUAAGACACGUGUGUAAAGAACAGAAUGAAGUCUGAGCAAGGUUGACCAUGGACCACAUUUUGAGAAACGUUUGGUUGGGCAAUAACAUUGGACAAAUAAGUGGAAGGAAAGACAAAGAAAGAGGAAAAAAAUACAGGCUAUGAAGGAAAAGCAAUUUGGUAAUUGCAUGUUGGAAGAUAAGAUAAGUGAAUUCGGUAUCUUCUGUGUGUGCUGUUGCAAGCAGAACACAGUGGCUGGGUGAUGAUCAGGAACCACAGAGAAGAUGACUUAUCCCUGAACUUUCCAGGCCUUGAACUUGAGAAAGAUUGGCAGUGAUAGCAGGAGUGGAAUAAGAAUAUUGAAAAGGCCGGGAAGAAAUGGCAUUCCCACGGUGCCAGCACUUCUGGGAAGAGAUAAGAAACCCUUCUUUUCAAACCUCCAGCUUCUUCAUUGACAACUACCAUUGUCCCAGCAAUUCCGAAAGCCAAAACCAGCCUUCUUCUCACCUCCACUCAAGCACAGCCUCCAGUUCCAUGGUCUCUACUCUGUCCUGAUCGUUCAUUUUUCUAAGCCAUGUCAACACUCAUAAUACACUACUCACGAAUAAACAAUAAAAAAUGGCCUUAUUCAUCAUCUCAAAUCCUUUGGGGGAAUAAUUCAGGGUAUUAC
ensembl:lncRNA